GCACUGCUUGUCCCAAGUUGUUGACAACAGUUGUUGAACAAGCUGUUAGCAGUUGUAACAAGAUUGUUCCAACGAGUCCGAUACAAUCAUGAUAACAAUAUUGUUACAACCUUGUGUCGUCAACCUUUUUUGUGAUAUCAUGACUGUAUCAGACUUGUUAGAACGUUGUAAAUAAUACCAUCAAGCAAGUUACAAGUUGUUAACAGCUUGUUCCAAACUUGUUACAACAACUGGGAACAAGCAGUGC